CCUACGGGUGGCAGCAGUGAGGAAUAUUGGUCAAUGGACGCGAGCCUGAACCAGCCAAGUCGCGUGAAGGAUGACGGCCCUAUGGGUUGUAAACCUCUUUUGUCGGGGAGUAAAGUACACUAUGUGUAGUGUUCCGUGAGUACCCUAAGAAAAAGCAUCGGCUAACUCCGUGCCAGCAGCCGCGGUAAUACGGAGGAUGCGAGCGUUAUCCGGAUUUAUUGGGUUUAAAGGGUGCGUAGGCGGACGCUUAAGUCAGGGGGGAAAGUUUGGGGCUCAACCCUGGGCUUGCGGUUGAAACUGGGUGUCUUGAGUGCGCCAGAAGUAGGCGGAAUGCGUGGUGUAGCGGUGAAAUGCAUAGAUAUCACGCAGAACCCCGAUUGCGAAGGCAGCAUACCGGAG
rnacentral:rRNA from 1 species